UACGUAGGGUGCGAGCGUUUAAUCGGAAUUACUGGGCGUAAAGCGUGCGCAGGCGGCUUUGUAAGCCAGGUGUGAAAUCCCCGGGCUCAACCUGGGAAUGGCAUUUGGGACUGCAAGGCUGGAGUGCGGCAGAGGAGACUGGAAUUCCUGGUGUAGCAGUGAAAUGCGUAGAUAUCAGGAGGAACACCGAUGGCGAAGGCAGGUCUCUGGGCUGACACUGACGCUCAUGCACGAAAGCGUGGGGAGCAAACAGG
rnacentral:rRNA from 1 species